GGUGAUCGGCCACACUGGAACUGAGACACGGUCCAGACUCCUACGGGAGGCAGCAGUAGGGAAUCUUCCGCAAUGGGCGAAAGCCUGACGGAGCAACGCCGCGUGAGUGAUGAAGGUCUUCGGAUCGUAAAACUCUGUUAUUAGGGAAGAACAUAUGUGUAAGUAACUGUGCACAUCUUGACGGUACCUAAUCAGAAAGCCACGGCUAACUACGUGCCAGCAGCCGCGGUAAUACGUAGGUGGCAAGCGUUAUCCGGAAUUAUUGGGCGUAAAGCGCGCGUAGGCGGUUUUUUAAGUCUGAUGUGAAAGCCCACGGCUCAACCGUGGAGGGUCAUUGGAAACUGGAAAACUUGAGUGCAGAAGAGGAAAGUGGAAUUCCAUGUGUAGCGGUGAAAUGCGCAGAGAUAUGGAGGAACACCAGUGGCGAAGGCGACUUUCUGGUCUGUAACUGACGCUGAUGUGCGAAAGCGUGGGGAUCAAACAGGAUUAGAUACCCUGGUAGUCCACGCCGUAAACGAUGAGUGCUAAGUGUUAGGGGGUUUCCGCCCCUUAGUGCUGCAGCUAACGCAUAAGCACUCCGCCUGGGAGUACGACCGC
rnacentral:rRNA from 1 species